CCCUGGCACCCCCUGGCAGGGUCAGCACCUCUGUAAUGCUUGGCUCCUAUCCCCCAGUGCUGAGAAAUGCCCCACUGUCCCCGCGGUACUUGUUCUGUCAUGACCGUCCCUCCUGCAGGGACAGAGCCAGCCCAGCCCUCUUUGUGCUCACAGGGAGGCACAAAGCUGCGGCCCCCGCUUUCAGCACCUUCCAGCCCAUGGACAAGACACGAAGGAGCUGCCAGGGCCUGGGCUUGUUCCGGGACCCCAGGCUCCAGAACCUAAGGGGAGGGGAGGCCCGGCCCCCCGCUGUCCACACUUUGGUGAGUAGGAACUCGGGGUGUGGGGUGCCUCCCUCCUGCCUCUCUUGAGCAAUGCCUUCGUCCACCCGGUGCAUUCCAGACCCAUCCUGGCCUUUUCUCACUCUCCAGGACCUCUUCAAGCCAUGCAGCCUCCUCUUGGAGGGGAAGCUUCCUGCUCUGGCCUCUGGGAUGACUUCCGGCCCCAUCUCCCUUUUUCCAGGGGCCAGGGAGAAACUUUCUGCCUGCCUCUCUCCCUCUCCGUAAUAGCCCGCUGCUCCGGGAUUAGAGGCUCUCCACCCCAGAGGGAAGAGGGAGGAAAGUCCCUGGAAACCAAACAGCUGGAGCUGAGGAAGGGAUUUAAAUCAGUGACCUUGGGAAGGACUUUCUUUCUGGGGAAUUCUACCCUCAAAAGCAGGAGGGGUUGGGUAUGGGGGAGAAGGUGGAGGAGGCCCGCUAAUCAUGACGCUUCCCCGACCCAGGGAACGGCCCGGGCCCUGGGGCCUGCCUCUGUCCCAGGGAGUCCUGAGAAGGUGGAAGAGGUGCCUGGGGAAGGCAGCCUGUCUCUGCAGGCCAAGACUCGGGCUUGGUUCCAGAAGACCCAGGCCUGGUCGCUCCUGCAGUGUGGGGGAGCCCCUGCCUGGUUCCAUGGCUUCAUUACCCGAAGCCUUCAGCUUUUCCGCUUGGCGCGGGGACCGUCCUGA
rnacentral:lncRNA from 1 species